rnacentral:piRNA from 1 species
UGAGAAAACAAGGAGUAAGCUCAAAGC